AUAUGGAGGUGGCUAGCGUUGUUCGGAAUUACUGGGCGUAAAGGGCGCGUAGGCGGACUAUCAAGUCAGGGGUGAAAGGCCUGGGCUCAACCCGGGAACUGCCUUUGAAACUGAAAGUCUAGAGACCGAGAGAGGAUAGCGGAAUUCCCAGUGUAGAGGUGAAAUUCGUAGAUAUUGGGAAGAACACCAGUGGCGAAGGCGGCUAUCUGGCUCGGUACUGACGCUGAGGCGCGAAAGCGUGGGGAGCAAACAGGAUUAGAAACCCCAGUAGUCC
rnacentral:rRNA from 1 species